UUUUAAAUUUAUUUUUCCUGUUCUUCUUACAUGGAGAUUGUAUCUUUCUCAAAGUUUUUCCAUCUUUUUGAUGGCAUGCUAUUUGGUUAUCUAGGCCUUGGAAUUUUGUGCCAAAUGACUUUACAUUAGUCUAUAUAUCUCAUUUUCUUGUUGAUUUUGAGAAUUUAAUAACUCUCUAAUUCUUUGUCUUUAACAACCAAUUCUAUACAUAUCCCAACUUCCUAAAUUACGUCUGUGCUUACAGUUCAUUGAUUGCGAAUCAGCCAAUAGUGAUAGCUUUUUGGUGCUUCUAUCUCAGGUUUUCUUUUUUAUUUCUAACUUCUAGAUUUUGUGAUUCCAUUUAUAUAGAGCCAAUUCCAAUAAAAAGGUACAAGAUUAAGUGGAUUCAAACUUAAUAAUGAUGCAAAUUCUGAAAAUGUUUUUAUUGAAGUGUUGAAAAUAUACUGUAUACAUAACAAGAAUAAAAUGGUUAGCAUAUAAAACUAACACGUUGCUUUUCAUUGUACAGUGAUGGUUAAUAUCAUGGGUUGUACUGAUUAGAGACCACAAUAGCUUAAUUCAAUGGUGCAUCUUGAUCAAUAGAAGCCAUUUCCUUUCCUGAAAUAUAAUGCUUAAAAAAGCAGUUGAUUGUGCAAUGUUUUUUAAUCCUAGGUAAGUUGGGAUUUGAACAAAUUACCGUUUAGUUAGAAAAAAAGUGGGUAUAAUGAGGCCAUGAACUAUUGCCAUUGCCAAGGAAAAUAUAAAAUCUUCACUCCAAUUGAAGACCACAUAAUCAACUGAAACUUUUCCACUUAAAUUAAAAACAUAUAAAUACAUGCCAAACCUCAUCUUUGUGCUAUAUUUGAACUUUUUGUGUGUGUGUUGUGCGCGCCCGUUCUAUGACACCCAAAUACAUGGUGCACACUUCAUUAGUGAAUUCUGUGUUGGUCUUUGAGACUAUGUUACUCUUUAGUAAAUUUGUGUUGCUAACUUGCUCAUGAUUUUGAUGAUUAGCAACGUAUUCAAAAGAGAUAAGACCCCAUGUAUUUUUUAGUUGUAGCAUUGAUAUCAAAAUGUCAAUGGUUUGAGACAAAAUGUCAACAUCCCCAUGCAAUUUUUAGUUUCAGCAUUGACAAUUUCACAUGGUUCGUAAGGAGUUGUUCCUAAUAUUUGAGUAAACUCUUCUUAUUCGUUUCUUCUUCUUCUCUACAUUGAUAUCAAUGGUUUGUAGGGAAUUGUUCCAAAUGUUUGUGUAAACUCUUGUCAUUCGUUUCUUUUUCUUUAUUUAUUAUUUUUUUGGGUGCAAAAUGUUGCCAUUCACUUCAUAUUGCAUUCUUCAAACUAUUGAUGAGACUUUGAAAAUUUUGAAAUCUCCAAUUGGAUCGAGAAGAGCAGCAUACUAUUUCUAUUUCAAACUCAGAAUGGCUCGCAUGCUGAACUCUGACCAACAGGUAUUUUUGUUACAUUGAGUUCUAUUCAAUGUUUGAGAUUAGAUGCCAACAUAAAUUAUGUAGAACUUAUUUUAGUGGUUCUACGUGAUUCUACGAAAAAUCAAAGAUACUUGUAUGCAUUUGAAUUAUGAAAAUAUGCCUUACACUUUUUUUUUUAGGAGUCGAUCGUCUUGUGCCCUAUCUCAACUAAUGUACUGUGUUUUGUAUUCCAUCUUUGCCUGCUUAAACUUUUGAAACAUCUUUGAGUAUCAUGGUCAAAAUUCAUCAUAGGGAUCUAAUGAGAUUUGAUUCAAAUAUGUGAGAGAAGCCAUUUGCCAGGUGAUAAGCUCAUGGUAUAAGAAAUUUUUUUUAACUAAUUUUUCUAUCCCAAUAUUUGCUCUUCAUGGAUUGAGCCCAUAAUUUUAAAAUUUAUUUGGCAGAUUGAGUUGGUAAUCAAAUGAAUCUGUUGACUUGAUGUUCAGUCCACCACUCUCAACACCCUCAGUUGAAUGUGAAGUUGUUGCCCAUACAUUGACAUAUAAACUACAGACAAGUUUCCUAGCAAGGAAUUAGCUGAAAAUCAGUUUUCCCUGCUCUACUUUAUUUUCAUUUUGUGUUUUGAUCCUGUAAUUUUCUUUUUCUUCCUUUUUGUUGAUUUUGUUAAGGUUGGCAACAUGGAAUCCAAGAAGGGGGCAGCUGAUUGGGAUGAAAUUGGGACAAGUUUGAAGAUGAAGCUCCUCUUCAGUUGUUAGUAAAGCAUCUUCCACAAAAGAGGUUGUGCAUGUUUCAUCAACAAAUGCUGAUCAUAAUUCAGAAAUGCCACCAAGUGGAGGGGAAAGGAUUGCCGAUGAUGCUCAUAGCGAAGACAGCGUAGAACUUCAGUGCAGAUGGUUCACCGCAUGCUAGAGAGACCUAGAGGUACAGGUUUUAAUUUGCAUCUUUUUUGUAUUUUCCUUCUGCGUUGGAUUUGAAAUUUUUUAUUGGUGUCUGAACCUUUAAACCAUUGGACGGCAUCUAUCUACACCUAUUGUUUCAUUCGAAAAUCUGAAUUUCUGCAUGAUUUUAUUGGUGCUCUGAACACGGGGGGUGUUGAAUAUGUGUUCUCUGGGGACAGAAGUGUUGAUGAACGAAACUGGGGCGCAUUUGACGCUCAUUAUGAUACCGACUUAGGCUGGGACUUCAGUUUUGGUCCUACAAAGUCCAGUUUUGGUACUAAAACGUGGCACAUUAAACACUUAAGAGUUGCUGUUGAGUCCUUGUAGCUGCUAGGUGCUCUGUAUACUGUUAUGAGCAGCAGUAGUAGUUUGACAAGGUUUUGAUGUGUAAUAUUUGGAGACUUAGAAGCUGAGGACCUUGUGUUUGGAUAUUCUGAUGGACUUCAUUUUGAUGUGGAAAAAGGCAAGCACAUGUUUUCUAUGAAAUAUUCACUUUUCCUGAAUUGAUUAGGAAUACUCACUGGCAGUUUAUCAAUUAUGAAACAGUUGAACAGAGUGCCUAAAUGGUUGGGUUUCACAUAGAGUAGAUUAGCACAACCAACUUGGGUUUCACGAACUUUCAUUUAAGUUAAUUGAAAAAAAAUAAAAAUAAAUAAAUAAUCCAACUUAGUUGAAAACGGGCGUUCCAGAGGCAAAAAUGUAAAACAGCCACCGAACCACUCUAUGGAUGUCAGGGGUACUUUCCUCAUGACACAUAGAACCUGUGGGGACAGACGACAUGUAAUUAGCACACGUAGGUUGGGAGUUAGAGUAAAAAAUGCCUUAAACUUAGUUGAAAAAAGGCGUUCGGGAGGUGAAAAUGCAAAACAGCCCUUGAACCACUCUAUGGAUGUCACGGAUACCUUCCUCGUGACACAUAGGACCUGUGGGGACAGACGGGAUGUAAUUAGCACACAUAGGUUGGGAAUUGGAGUAAAAAAUGCCUUAAACUUAGUCGAAAAAAGCCGUUCGAGGGGCGAAAAUGCAAAACAGGCCCCAAAUCACUCUGUGGAUGUUACGGGAAGCUUCCUCGUGACACAUAGGUCCUGUGGGGACAAACGGCAUGUAAUUAGAACACAUAGGUUGGGAGUUGGAGUCAAAAAUGCCUUAAACUUAGUCGAAAAAACGCAUUCGGGGGGUGAAAAUGCAAAACAGCCCCCGAACCACUCUAUGGAUGUCACGGAUAGCUUCCUCAUGACACAUAGGACCUGUGGGGACAGACGGGAUGUAAUUAGCACACGUAGGUUGGGAGUUGGAGUCAAAAAUGCCUUAAAAUUAAUCGAAAAAAGGCGUUCGGGGGCAAAAAUGCAAAACAGUCCCUAAAUCACUCUGGAUGUUACGGGAAGCUUUCUCGUGACACAUAAGACCUGUGGGGACAAACAACAUGUAAUUAGCACACGUAGGUUGGGAGUUGGAGUAAAAAAUGCCUUAACUUAGUCGAGAAAAGGCGUUUGGGGGGUGAAAAUGCAAAACAGGCCCCGAACUACUCUAUGGCUGUCACGGGCAGCUUCCUCACGACAAAUAGGACAUGUGGCAGCUUCCUCAUGACUCUAUGGACAUGUGAAUAUAUUUUAGUCAUGAGUUGCAUGUAUUUUACCUUGAUGAAGAAGAACAAGCAGCAACAAAUUGGCUGGAAAAGAAGUAUAACCAUGGUUAAUGAGGUUUAUGUUCAAAAAAUGUUUGGUUCCUUUGCUUUUUUAGCCUGAAGACCUUUUCUUUAGAAACUCUAUUUUUGCUUUCAGUGUUGCUUUCUGCAAUGAAGAGAGUAUUGCAAAGGUAUUUUCGCUUCAAGGAAAUUUCUAUCUGUUUUAGGCUCCAUUUGUUUUGAUGUGAUAUAAUUUACACUAAAAAUAAUUUCAUGUAGAAUAAUUUACAUCUCUUAUUUUUCAAUGUUUGGCUUCAACUCUAAAUAGUUCAAGUCACAAAUCUCAAGGCAAGAUACCAGUUAGCUAUUGCUCUGCUAUUUAUACAUAAAAAUAAAUAUAUCACAGAUUGUUUGAGGAACCAAAAAUAGACAGUGAAUCAGAAUGGCAUGCUUCAUCACCAUGUAAACCAACCAAUUCGGGAGAAGAAGAAAUAGAAGCUGAAACUAUGGGAGACCAUUUGCUUUUUCAUUGUAAUUAAUAUUUUCCCCUUUCAUUAUGUUUAUUAUUUCUCAUUGUUCUUUUUGACGUGACACUAAAAACACAAAAGGAAAUUUUUGCCAUAACUUAUCCCUUCUAAGCACCAUCAUUUUAAACUCGAAGGGUACAACAACUUGAACAAUUAAAUGCAAACUUCAGCACAGGCCUUAUAUACUAAAUACACAUUUCUAUUGGCUUACUAUUACCCGACCGCAUACUCAAAGGCCAUGAAACAUGGAGGAAAGCUUUUUUUUUUUCACUACAAUAUAGUAACAGGUAUGUCCUUGGCCAGUGGUCAGCCACCAACCAUCUCAUUAUAUCUUGUAGACACAAAGCAUCAAACAUAUUCUCACAUUAAUCAUUCUUUUAAUAAUGAAUUAGAAAUGAUUGCCAAUCAAGUCCAUGAAACUCUGAAAUGUUUAUUUAUUCACCAUUCAUACUUCAAAUCUCCAUUUCAACAACAGUGGAGUUGAGGUGAUAGGUGAUUACAAGUCCAAAGGUAUUGCUUAUAUACCCUUUCCUCGGGUUUAGGCAAGAGAGAGGGAAGUGAAUCUAGAGAGG